UAUUAACCUCGAGGGGUUAUACUAGAUGCGCAGAACAAAUAGAGGAGAGCUCACGGGGCUCUAAGCUGACGAAGCUGCCAACCCUAGCCCUAGCAAAAGCAGUGCUUCGCAGAAUCUACCACCGGAUUGGAAAAGCGACCCACUGAGAAGAUCCAGCGAGAAACUCAGUGGGCUAGCGUACCUAAAAAGAAGUGCGGAAAGAUACUGAUAGUGAAUCGGAAGGAGAAAAGCCGGAAAGGCCGGAACGUCGGAUGUCCGUUUCGGUAUUUCCACCACCCACUACCGUAUCCGGGCACAGAACGUCGGUGCUUUUGCAACUUUUGACGGCUUUGUGGAGAAGAUUAGAUAAAUACAUAAAUGAAAUUUUAUGCUUUGAAAAAUACAAGGUGUAGGAACAUACAAA